AUUGAACGCUGGCGGCAGGCCUAACACAUGCAAGUCGAGCGGAUGAAGGGAGCUUGCUCCUGGAUUCAGCGGCGGACGGGUGAGUAAUGCCUAGGAAUCUUCCUGGUAGUGGGGGAUAACGUCCGGAAACGGGCGCUAAUACCGCAUACGUCCUGAGGGAGAAAGUGGGGGAUCUUCGGACCUCACGCUAUCAGAUGGGCCUAGGUCGGAUUAGCUAGUUGGUGGGGUAAAGGCCUACCAAGGCGACGAUCCGUAACUGGUCUGAGAGGAUGAUCAGUCACACUGGAACUGAGACACGGUCCAGACUCCUACGGGAGGCAGCAGUGGGGAAUAUUGGACAAUGGGCGAAAGCCUGAUCCAGCCAUGCCGCGUGUGUGAAGAAGGUCUUCGGAUUGUAAAGCACUUUAAGUUGGGAGGAAGGGCAGUAAGUUAAUACCUUGCUGUUUUGACGUUACCAACAGAAUAAGCACCGGCUAACUUCGUG
rnacentral:rRNA from 1 species